rnacentral:rRNA from 1 species
CCUACGGGAGGCAGCAGUGGGGAAUAUUGCGCAAUGGGCGAAAGCCUGACGCAGCGACGCCGCGUGAGGGAUGAAGGUCUUCGGAGCGGAAACCUCUGUCAGCAGGGAAGAAAGGUCACGGUGCUAAGCAGCAGUGAAUUGACGGUACCUGCAAAGGAAGCACCGGCUAACUCCGUGCCAGCAGCCGCGGUAAGACGGAGGGUGCGAGCGUUAAUCGGAAUUACGGGGCGUAAAGGGCUCGGAGGCGGUAUGUCAAGUCAAGGGUGAAAUCCCCGCGCUCAACCUGGGAACUGCCUUUGAAACUGGCAGACUGGAGUGUGUGAGAGGAUAGUGGAAUUCCCGGUGUAGCGGUGAAAUCCGUAGAUAUCUGGAAGAACAUCAAUGGCGAAGGCGACUCUCUGGCACGUAACUGACGCUGAGGCGCGAAAGCGUGGGUAGCAAACAGGAUUAGAUACCCCUGUAGUC